GUAGGUGGCAAGCGGUUGUCCGGGAAUUAUUGGGGCGUAAAGCGCGCGCAGGCGGUUCUUUAAGUCUGAUGUGAAAGCCCACGGGCUCAACCGUGGAGGGUCAUUGGAAACUGGAGAACUUGAGUACAGAAGAGGAAAGCGGAAUUCCACGUGUAGCGGUGAAAUGCGUAGAGAUGUGGAGGAACACCAGUGGCGAAGGCGGCUUUCUGGUCUGUAACUGACGCUGAGGCGCGAAAGCGUGGGGAGCAAACAGGAUUAGAUACCCUGGUAGUCCACGCCGUAAACGAUGAGUGCUUAAGUGUUAGGGGGUUUCCGCCCCUUAGUGCUGCAGCUAACGCAUUAAGCACUCCGCCUGGGGAGUACGGCCGCAAAGGCUG
rnacentral:rRNA from 1 species